CACACACACACACACACACACGCACACACAUAUUAGGUUGAGUAAAACGUAAGCAACGAUUUGAAACAUGAACUUCACCACAAUAUAUUUCAACAAUGCGGAAAUUUUAUUCAGCAAAGUACGUACCAUUACAAUCAACACACUUUUGCCAACGA